GUAAUUGUGGCCAAGUGGUUAAGGCAAUGGACUAGAAAUCUAUUAGGGUUUCCCCACACAGGUUCGAAUCCUGUCAAUUACA